rnacentral:lncRNA from 1 species
AUUGAGGUCUAAAGGGACUAAAAUUGAACAUUAUUUGAUUUCAUCAAAAAUUAAAUUCUUGGGGUUCUAUGAUAUGCUGAAUCUAACCAUGUAUUUAGAUUUUGGAUAUUGGACCAUAAUAGGUGAAUGUCCAAUUUAAAAUUUUUAACUUUUUAAGUUUAAGUUCUUGGACCACAUUCAUUCUGUGUCAGAAACCUAUGUUGUGUCAACUAUUUAAUCAUAAUCCAAAUUCAGAGCUGUAUCAAGCUUAAAUGUUGUGUCCAUACUUGCCCCAACUGUUCAUGGUUCGACCUAUGCGGUCGUAUGAAGCUGCACCCUGCGGAGCAUCUGGUUUAUAUUAGAGGUCAAAUGCCAAAGUCAAGGUCAGAGUGACCUUAUUUUGGUAUAUGACACACCCA